GGGAGAGGCGUCCCCGACAGCAAAUGUCCCCGCUCAAGGUUGUUGUCGGAAGGUGUCUGGCUGUCUGGCUCGGGAUUUGCAUAGGUACGGGCCGUGCAAACAGCAGCUCGGAGGGAGGGGUGGGGGCAGGCAGCAGACGGGACAUCGCCCCCAGCUCCUUUAUUUCAAGCCUAAUUCGCGGUGGGUGCGGGCAGGUUUGGAACUGGGCUGAGCUGGAGAUGCUCUCUCCAGGCCAGAGAGAUCGCGGUGCAGCUCGGGUUGGAAUCCAUCGCCUAAAGCGGCACCGUUCUCCUCCCCCCUACCCCCCCCCAUCCCCUCCACCCCAUGAAUUGCGUGGGGUUAUUGUCUUAUUUGAGGGCACCAGGCUCUUCCUAACACCUUGUGCUCUCUUCCAAGCUCGCUGGUGUGCAACCGGAGCGGCCAGACAAUAGGAUUUGCAGACACAACUUGGAGCUUGCAACUAUAGUUAUCUAUGCUAAUUACAGGGUGUCUGACAGAAACAUAAUAAAUGUAAAGGGAGAAGUAUAGAAAUAUGUUUCUCCAGGCGGUGUACAGUUCGCCUCUCUGGGUUCAGGCUUGUUUUCUCGCUCUUCUUUUCAUUUUCUUCGCUGGGAAUUUUUUUUCCCCUUCCCUUGACCCGCAUUGCAUAUCACACCCAAAACCGAGCUAACCUGGAAUGCCUCAGUGUGAGGCUUCGCUGCUGCUCGGGAACAUCUGCAGAGAUGGCUUCGUCUGGGGGAGACCUGAAAUUUGGGGGGGAAAAAUAAAGGGCACCAUGGCACACUUAAAGAAAUUGUUCAGAGCUUUAAUUGCACCUCGGAAUUUAUUGUCUAUUACCCGUACCUCCAACACUGGAGAGACAGGAAUUCUUAGCAACAGACAGAAGGGGGGGGGGGGUUGGGAGGGGGGGGUGGCGGGGGGAAGCACUUAAGCAGGUAAAAAACUCCUGCAGUGGGAUUUUAAGCGAGAGCUGAAUGUCUGCGUCUCCCACAUUGGGUCGGAUUGAGGUUUUCGCGUCGAUGUGUGGCGAUAGGAGCGCGAGUUCCUCCGCUCUGUUGUCGGCCCGAAGAGCUUUUCCUCUGUGAGAUCUCGGGAGAAUCGCUCAAAGCGAAAGCAAAAGGUUUGGAAGGGAGAGGAGAGGGAUGCACUGCGCUGAGCACACAGCACUGUCCGGGAGCGGGCGGACAUGGGAAGGAGCAUUCAGCCCCGAAAAGGUGUCAGAAGUCAAUGGCUCAGACAAAGGCUUCGUCUUCUGUAACCUCCUCAUUUGCCACGAGAGACUACUUCUUAAUCUAUUUUUUUUUUUCCUUCACCGGGGAAUAAAAUAAAAUGAAGUAUAAGAUAGGAUUCCUACGGCUCGUGGGCUGCUAGCGUUAGUUUUGCUCCGUGCCACCAAGUUCCUUCCCCCUGCAGAUUGAAAAGAGGAGGUGAGAGGCAAAGCUGUGAGUCUGCCUGGAAAGGGACCCGGUGGUUCACCAUCAUUUCGAGAAGAGAUCAUCUCCCCUCCAAGAGGGCAACCGGAGCUUUUGCGGAGCACAAACGCUGCGAGAUAACCUUGCAGGAGCUGAAGGCGAUGGCAAAGCGUGCUGUAAUUGCGGUGCGGAUCUUUGCUCGUGCUUCUGCCAGGAGGAAUGCUCGGGAUCCCGCUGCUCUGAGCGGACUUUGAUUCGCGUAACUUUGCGCGCAGCCACCAGGGAUGGCUUCGGGUCGAGAGGAGCGCGGACAGAGAGUGUUUUGCGGGGGGUUCGCGUCGUGGUUUGGGAUUCCGCAGCGCAGAGGGGGGAGAGGACGCUGCGUUAACCCGCGUCUGUAGUUUGCUGUAAGGUGAAGAGUCUCCAUCUCCGCCUCGCACUGCUCGGUGCACUCCCCGAAUGGAAGGGGUUUGUACGGCAAUCGCGAUCGUUUCCCUCGUGUGUGUGCGGGUGUGAGUGUGCGCGGAGCCCACGGCGACGCGGGGAGCGAAGCGCUCCGUGCAAUGGAGGUUCCCGUGUAAAUAAAAGAAAUCUUCAGCAGAUAUGUUCGCCUUUGUGUGCCACCACCAAAACGCCCCAUCCACGACUCAUUCCGUGACCUUGCCUGCUCGCAUGAAGGCUCCAAAAACUGCUGCUCCUCAUUAGGGCUGCGCUGCUUGGGUAAUUUCUGCUCGUUUUGCGGUUCGUCUGUGGUGUAUUCUGACAUAUUUCUCCCCUGGAAAACGUCCCCACUGACUCUCAGUGCUCCUCUCCCCCCAUGCUCAGCCCUUUCUCUCUCCUUCUCCCUCUGCCUCUUUCUCUUCCCCUCUCUCCCCUUCUGCACAUACACACAACCCUUCUUUGUAGGGAUUCUCCCAGAUAUUCCACCGGUUUGGGAAAGCCAAGCUGCUUUCACGUCACUCCCUGCAUCUCAGCACCUUCGCACCGUAACUAUUUCUUAAAAUGGGAAUAGAUCAAAGAGUGACGAGCACAGAUAUAUGCGUAUAUAGAUACGUAUUUCUUUUCUUGCGAACAUAAAAGUAACCGUCAUUGGAGAGCUGUGAUUGACAGAUAAAUUGGUCUCGAUAAAGGCCAAAGAAGACAGUCUGCUCCUGCAGGAAUAUUUCCCUUUAAGGGCUCCCAUAAAGCAGGGGGCUCAGAACGGAACGGGGGAUAAAUUCUGCGGCUGAGCGAGUGGAUGACUUUCCUCGUCGAAUUUGGCAAACCACGAAUCCCUCCCCAAACAUCCCUCCCGUCGGGGUUUUGUUUCCAAGCCUUCCCUGUGUUCUCCGAGGGGGAAACCCCACUUCCAGGGGCUGCGCGGUGCAGUGAAGGGCAGCGUUUAGUGUUGGCUCAGCUGAGGCUCGUGACUUUGGGGGGGUCCGGGAGGACUUUCCUGGCAGCCCCACUCCCCGCCUGUCUGUCUCCGGAUCUGUUGGAUUCACUCACGCUCCAAUCUCCCCCUCCGACUUGCUGAGAAAAGGAAAGAGCGAGAAAUGGAAUGCGGUUCUGUCCCGGGGGUGCGUGGGAUCCGCGCCGGGGGAACGCCGCGCACUGGGGACACUCUGCCCUCCCGGUGCCUUUCUGCCCCUGGGGGAAGGGAUGGGGAGGUGGGGGGGGGCUCCACCGCUCUCUGAGCCCCCACUUUUUCUUCCUCUUGCAAACGUUGCCCGUUUCCCUCUCUCUCCCCACCGCGUCACCCCAGCCCUAUAAAACCCGUGGUGAUGAAUAGCCCUGAGGAGCCCGGACAAUCAGGCUUAUGAUUUUGUGUGUGCGUGUUGUUUGGGUUCUUAAAAAAAAUAAAAAUAAAAAAGAAAGAAAGAAAAAAAGAAAAGAAAAAGAAAAGAAAAAUGAAGGAAGAAAGAAAAAGAGAAGGGUCCUUUUUUUUUUUUUUUUUUGUGGAUAUAUUUCCUUUCUCUUUCUUUCUUUGCAGAGAAAUCGCCCAACUCCAUUCUUUCAGCCCCCAAUGGGCGUGAGCCACGUACCUACCUGUCUAUCCUUACAAAGGAAAGCUUAUCCUCCCAACACGCAGUCAGGGCAUCCCCGAGUUGUUUGGUUGUUUGUUUUUUUUUAACCUCUCCCAACUCUCUCCCAUCGAUUUGGUGAGAAAAGAGAAAAGGGAAAAGAAAAGUUGCGCGUGAAAAAAAAGCAGCAAAAAAGGGGAAAAAGGAAGCAAAAAUAUCCCCCCGAAAGAACAACCCAACAACGACACCGCACGCAGAAAUGAAACCCGG
rnacentral:lncRNA from 1 species